AUUGAACGCUGGCGGCAUGCUUUACACAUGCAAGUCGAACGGCAGCGCGGGCUUCGGCCUGGCGGCGAGUGGCGAACGGGUGAGUAAUACAUCGGAACGUGCCCAGUAGUGGGGGAUAGCUCGGCGAAAGCCGGAUUAAUCCCGCAUACGACCUGAGGGUGAAAGCGGGGGAUCUUCGGACCUCGCGCUAUUGGAGCGGCCGAUGGCAGAUUAGCUAGUUGGUGGGGUAAAGGCCUACCAAGGCGACGAUCUGUAGCUGGUCUGAGAGGACGACCAGCCACACUGGGACUGAGACACGGCCCAGACUCCUACGGGAGGCAGCAGUGGGGAAUUUUGGACAAUGGGCGAAAGCCUGAUCCAGCAAUGCCGCGUGUGUGAUGAAGGCCUUCGGGUUGUAAAGCACUUUUGGCGGGAACGAAAAGGACUGUGCCAAUACCACGGUUCGAUGACGGUACCCGCAGAAUAAGCACCGGCUAACUACGUG
rnacentral:rRNA from 1 species